AGAGGGAACACAAGCAGGGCGAGUGGGAGAGGGAGAAGCAGGCUUCCCGCCGAGCAGGGAGCCCAAUGUGGGGCUCGAUCCCAGGACCCUGGGACCAUGACCUGAGCCGAAGGCAGACGCUUAACGACUGAGCCACCCAGGCACCCCUGGCCUUGUAGAAGGUCUUCAGGGAAUGUUCUCUGAAGCAAUUUACACAGAGCUUACUAGAUAGCCUCCGCUCGGUUUCCCUAAUCGGAAAGAAGAGGGAUUUUUUUGUUUUGUUUUGCGCCGAAGGAUGAGCUGCUAUUGGCGACAGGAGUCUGGAUCUUGAGACAGACACAGAAAGGGAGUGGAAACUCGUGGCCCGUGGGCCACAUCAGCACGGCUGGGGGCUGUGGGGCCUGGGGCCUGCCAGCACAAGUCUCCACUCUCAGCCUGGGUCCUUCUCCGCAGGCCCACACAGGAAGCUCACUGCACAACCUGCUUGUUGUGCAGUAAGACCAUGGCUGGCCACGCUUCUCCAGCUGAGGCAGUGUCAGCAAAGGGGAGUUAACCUCUUCUUCUCUGCCUCCAUUUCGAAUCCUUGCACCAACAUCGCUGCUGGAAUGGAUUUGCAGGGGACAGCUACGCGGUUGUGUCGUCAGACUCCCUCCUGGCAGCUGCCACUACUUGUACAUCACAGCAAGGUCUGAGUCGCGUCUAUGGAAAUUCAUGUUCAUUUCUGAUUUCAGUUACAAUGAACUUUUAUCCGUUUCUUGUGUAAAUUUUUAAAAGUGAUUCUGCUGUGGCAUAUUCAUUACACAGUGACAAAUAAAUUUGUUUUUAAAGUAUGUAAAAAAUAGCACAGAACUACUGAGGGAUAAACAUUGUUAAUUUGAAGCAGAAAGCAGUCAUUAAAAAUCAUGUAAAAUUC